rnacentral:snRNA from 1 species
GUUCCUUCAGAGACAUCCGAUAAAAUUGGAACGAUACAAAAAAAAAAUUAGCAAAGUCCUUGCGGAAGAAUGACACGCACAAUCGAGAAAUGCUCAAAAGGUAU